UUAGAGCAGAAAUAUGGUUAUUAUCACUGCAAGGACUGCAACAUCCGCUGGGAGAGUGCAUACGUGUGGUGUGUACAGGGCACGAACAAGGUUUACUUCAAACAGUUUUGCAGAACUUGUCAGAAGUCUUACAAUCCUUACCGAGUGGAGGACAUCACCUGUCAAAGUUGUAAAAGAACUAGAUGUUCCUGCCCAGUAAGAAUUCGCCACGUGGACCCCAAACGCCCGCAUCGUCAAGAUUUGUGUGGGAGAUGCAAAGGCAAACGCCUGUCCUGUGACAGCACUUUCAGCUUUAAAUAUAUCAUUUAGUGAAUGUGAAAAAUGGUUCUGCUGAACGUGUGCUAAGGGAGCAGAAGUGAGGUUUUCCUUUGUUCUUCUGUCUCUCCCUCCUUAAAGUACUU